rnacentral:misc_RNA from 1 species
UUUCCGUAGGUGAACCUGCGGAAGGAUCAUCAUCAAAAAAAACAAAAAAACAAACCCAAAUAGAAACCGUCGAGAGAAAAAGAAAGAAAAGAGAAAAAAUUUUUUUUUUUUUUUUUUUUUUUUUUUUUUCUUUUAUUUUUUUUUUUAAUUUUUUUUUUUUUUUUUUUUUUUUUUUUUAAAAAAAAAAAAAAAAAAAAAAAAAAAAAAAAAAAAAGUAAAAAAAAUUAAAAAAUUAUUUUUAUUUUUUUAAAAAAAAAACUUAAGACUCAAAAUAUUUUUUAUUUUUUUUAUUUAAAAUUUAUACUAAUUUUUAUUAUUAUUAUUAUAAAUAUUAAUAACAAACAAAAAAAAAAACAAAAGACAACUUUUAACAACGGAUCUCUUGGCUCUC